ensembl:lncRNA
AGGUAGCAACUGCAGCCGCAGGGAGAAAAGGAUUCCAGGUGGCCACGAAGGGCUUCUAUCCGUUCCUGCUCAACUCCGCCGAACCCAAGAAACCCCCCUGCCCUUGGCUGGCACUGCCCUCCCCACCCGCUUCCCGUCCAGCGCCUCCCCCUCCCAGACGCGAGACGUCCAGAGCGCCCCGGUUACUGGGAAACACGGCGACGUCAGCCCGGGAGGUGAAGGGCCGAGACUGCUUAUCUACCCCCCAGGUCUGCAUGGAAAUGGUCUGCAAGGAAAAGUGUAUGUUUCAAGGAUUGAAAAAGCAUACCACCAGAAAAUGCAACGCCCUAACCAUCAUGACUAUUUCAUCGUGGGGGUGGAGGGGUAGAAUUCCUCCUCACUGAGACAAGGGCCUGGCCCUAGUGCUCUCUGCCUGCCUACUCUCCCUGCAACUGCCCUGCAAACCCCCAUCUCGGCCAUUUUUCCUCUUCCUCAUUCUGGGCGUCUUGCCCUUGCCAGGGCUGUGGGAGCCUGCCCUCUACUGUUCACCUGAUUCAUGAGCACAGAAACCACUCAAGUCCUGAAUUUUGGAUCAAUAUUACCACCUGGUGGUUAACUGAGGCACUGCUGCAAAACUGAAGCAGUUCCCGGCUGGUAGUGUUUGCCACAGGGUCCUCUGAAAUGAAGAGAAAGUAGAAAUCUCCCCAUCAGGGACUGGAGAUCUGUCUCCUGGACACUAGCAGAUUCCUCAUGCUAGGUCAGAGCUUUUGGAGAAAGUGCCUCAAGCUAUGCACAGAAAUGAGGGGCACUCUAACUAGAGCGGUAAUUGCCUGACUUGCAGGGAGCCCUACAUCUGCACAUCUUAUUUUAGCGUUCAAUGUAGUACAUAGUUGAUAAGGGUGAAAGAGAGUGAAAAAGAUGGCUUAAAACUUAACAUUAAAAAAACAGAUUAUGGCAUCUGGUCCCAUCACUUCAUGGCAAAUAGAAGGGGAAAAAGUGGAAACAGUGACAGAUUUUAUUUUCCUGGGCUCCAAAAUCACUGGGGACAGUGACUGCAGCCAUGAAAUUAAAAGAUGUUCCUUGGAAGGAAAGCUAUGACAAACCUAAACAGCAUAUUAGAAAGCAGAGAUAUCACUUUGCUGACAAAGAUCUGUAUAAUCAAAGCUAUGAUUUUUUUCAGUAGUCAUGUUCAGAUGCGAGAGUUGGAACAUAAAGAAGGCUGAGAGCCAAAGAAUUGAUUGAUGCUUUCAAAUUGUGGUGCUGGAGAAGACUCUUGAGAGCUCCUUGAACUGCAAGGAGAUCAAACCAGUCAAUUCUAAAAGAAAUCAACCCUGAAUAUUCAUUGGAAGGACUGAUGCUGAAGCUCCAAUACUUUGGCCACCUGACAUGAAGAGCUGACUCAUU